GCUAUGAAGAGGGCACAAUUGAAAAUAGUACAACUCUUUGUUCCGAUAUUAUAUGAGUGUAUUUAUUAUUUAAGCUUUUGCUUUAUCACCCAUUAUGUGUGUGUGUGUUUGCCUAUAUAUAUAUAUAUUCUAAAUUAAUAUUUUUUUAUAUUAUUAAUAGUAUAUUUAUACAUAUUUUCGGUGCAUGUUGUUUGUUUACUUAUUAUUUCAGAUUUUAUAAAAGCCAA
rnacentral:lncRNA from 1 species